rnacentral:rRNA from 1 species
CGUGGGUAACCUGCCCAANAGAUCGGGAUAACACCUGGAAACAGAUGCUAAUACCGGAUAACAACAGAUGAUGCCUAUCAACUGUUUAAAAGAUGGUUCUGCUAUCACUCUUGGAUGGACCUGCGGUGCAUUAGCUAGUUGGUAGGGUAACGGCCUACCAAGGCAUGAUGCAUAGCCGAGUUGAGAGACUGAUCGGCCACAUUGGGACUGAGACACGGCCCAAACUCCUACGGGAGGCAGCAGCC